CCUACGGGAGGCAGCAGUGAGGAAUAUUGGUCAAUGGACGAGAGUCUGAACCAGCCAAGUAGCGUGAAGGAUGACUGCCCUAUGGGUUGUAAACUUCUUUUAUAUGGGAAUAAAACGUUCCACGUGUGGGAUUUUGUAUGUACCAUAUGAAUAAGGAUCGGCUAACUCCGUGCCAGCAGCCGCGGUAAUACGGAGGAUCCGAGCGUUAUCCGGAUUUAUUGGGUUUAAAGGGAGCGUAGGUGGAUUGUUAAGUCAGUUGUGAAAGUUUGCGGCUCAACCGUAAAAUUGCAGUUGAAACUGGCAGUCUUGAGUACAGUAGAGGUGUGCGGAAUUCGUGGUGUAGCGGUGAAAUGCUUAGAUAUCACGAAGAACUUCGAUUGCGAAGGCAGUUCACUGGACUGCAACUGACACUGAGGCUCGAAAGUGUGGGUAUCAAACAGGAUUAGAUACCCUGGUAGUC
rnacentral:rRNA from 1 species